rnacentral:rRNA from 1 species
GACGAACGCUGGCGGCGUGCUUAACACAUGCAAGUCGAACGGAAAGGCCUGCUUUCCCUUGUGGAUUGCGGGUACUCGAGUGGCGAACGGGUGAGUAACACGUGAGUGAUCUGCCCCCAACUUGGGUAUAAGCCUGGGAAACUGGGUCUAAUUCCCGAUAGGACUGCAGGGUGGUGCCUGUGGUGGAAAACGAUUUUCUAGUGGUUGGGGAUGAGCUCGCGGCCUAUCAGCUUGUUGGUGGGGUAAUGGCCUACCAAGGCGGCGACGGGUAGCCGGCCUGAGGGGGUGGACGGCCACAGUGGGACUGAGAUACGGCCCAGACUCCUACGGGAGGCAGCAGUGGGGAAUAGUGGACAAUGGGCGGAAUACUGAUGCAGCGACGCCGCGUGGGUGAUGACGGCCUGCGGGUGGUAAACUCCUUUCGACCGCGAGGAAGCCACCUGGUUGGAAGGGUGGUGACGGUAGUGGUAGAAGAAGCACCGGCUAACUACGUG